GUCAACAUUGAAGUACAAAGGGUAAUAUAAAGAUCAUAAACAAUGCGCAUGGAAAAUCGCAAGUUUAAGUGAAUGUAUAACUUCGGAAGUGCAUGCUUGAUUCUUUUAAUUCGCAUACGAAAAAAUUUCCAAGUAUCAAAAUUUUUUGUUUUCCUUAUUUUAGUAAAACUUUUGUUCCGAGAGUGUUCGAAAUUCUUAAAAUCGCGAUCGCUAAAUUUUUGUAGAAAAAAUAUUUUGUUUUGUUUUGUGAAAAAGUGGUUUCAGGAGCGUUUGAAAAUUUUUAAUCGCGUGUGUUUAUACCAAAUCUUAAAUAUUUAAGAGAAUUGUUGAGUUAGAUUAAUUCGAAAGAUUUUAACUCAAAAAAAAUAAAUAUAUAUAAAAAGUCUAAAUCGAAAAUAAAAUUUCAAAAAUCUUAAUUUUUUUGUGAACAAUAAUUGAAAUUAUUUUUAUUCAAUUAAAUAACUUAAUUAUUAAAAUAAUACGGUACUGAGCAAAAACUCGAGCCAUUGAGAAAAGAACGCUAUGCAGAAAUUGACGCCUCAAAUUGGGAACGCUUCGCAAGUGGUAUAUAUUUUAUCAUCUCUGAUUCUUCUUACUGCUUCUAAGAUUGCAUUUAA